AAAUGUAAAUCGGGUUUGCAGGAUAAUCGCACAAAAGGCAGGCGGUCCCUCUCGGUAAAUGAGGCUGCAUGGGAAUGAAAGUGCCGGAGCCUCUGCACCAACGAAGAGAAUAGCCAGCUUCCAAGAUAUGUGUGAAUGGGACUUCCAGAGACAAGAAUCAGAAGCACGGACCAAGAACAACAUAAUUAUUCCAGUUUCGUAACUUCAACAGCUCAAUUAAGCUAUUUUUAAAGGAACUGCAGAAUCCUGUCGCCAAGGUUGCAGAGCUGCCAGGAACCGAGGAAGCCUCCGAUGUGGCGAGAUAAUCUAUUCCACAAAGCCAACCAUGUUCAAGGCUUUGGGGAAUCAUGGCUUUGGAAAAGAGGAUUCCUCUCAACUUUAGCAUUAUGAGAUGGACAACAACAUCCCUUGUGAGAUCCAGAGCUACCACAUCUGCAUGGGGCCUUAGAGGGAGGCUGAGGGAUUACUAUUAGAGAGUCUUUGAAUAGUAGAAGCUGAAUACCUCAUUAUUAAUUAUUAUUAUGCAGCUGUUUACAGUUGUUUCAAUAAAAGGGACUUUUAUUUCAGGGCAGUUUUUCCCCACUCAGGGUCUUCCAGACAAAAACCUAGACUAAUAUCAAUGUCUCAGUCAAAAGAGAAAACAAAGCCAUGUGAUUAAUAGGCCGAAAUCCUUUGGUGGUUAGUGGCUCAAAGGGAAGGGAGAAGCCAUUGCAGGCAUUAAAAUGAGCUUUUGGAAAUCAAUUAUAUCAUAAUUCAUAUACUGACAGCAGCAAGAAUAGCAUAUGCCCAAACCUGGAAAAUAGAUGGCAUACCCUCCGAAAACAUGAUAAUUAAAAAAAAUAAUGGACUGCAUGGAAAUGGUUAAAUGAACUCUCAAACUGCAAGAUAAAAAAGAAAAAGAAUACUAUACAAUAUGGGACAAAUGGUAUCAGUGGUUAGAGAAUAAGAAUAACAAAUGAAAGUAGAACAUUGAU